GAUUUAAUCGGAUAUAACAACUCGCACAAAUGCCUUCGGGUCUUAGCCCGGAUAUAACAACUCGCACAAAUGCCUUCGGGUCUUAGCCCGGAUAUAAUCGCUAGCAUAAAUGCCUUCGGGUCAUAGCCCGGAUAUAGCAACUCGCACGAAUGCCUUCGGAUCUUAGUCUGGUUAUCAUCCGAAUAAUCAUGCACAUAUGUCCACAAAUCAUAACACAUUUUUAUUUCGUUUUCAUUACUAGAACUCAGACACAAGGCACUUAUCUACCAUUACCAUUUUCGGCUCAAUAG
rnacentral:lncRNA from 1 species